CAAAAUCAAGUUUAAUCUUUACCAAAAUACCCUCAAAAUUGAGAUAUAAACAAGCCUGUUAUGAACACGUGGUAAACAGAAAAAUAGUGCAGUAGACCACAUCAAGAGCCUAAACAAAUACUAGAAGAACCAAGCAUGCAAAUAGAUUAAGCCCUUGAUUCAUUUAUUGCAAUCAUCAUCUAGUAAUAUCCUCAUAUGUAAGCAUUUACACAGUUCAGCACGUUCCUAUGCUCACUUGCAACAGCACGAACAACAUCUCCAGCGGACAGCUCAUACCAGUCUGAUCAACAAAAUAGAGGGAACCCAAUUAUUUUUGUUCAAAAAGGAAACCUUACUAGUUAAUUUAACUAGGAACCUUAACAAGAUCAUUUCUGACUAUGUUGGAACUUGUCUUAUAAGAUCAUUCAAACAAGUAAAAGAACCACAAAAUGCUCUGGAGGAUAUGUCAAUAUUAAUCACUAAAAAACAGACGAAAGCACAGUUUGUUUUGUUUCAAGGAAUUGCCGUCUUAAAAACAGCUUGUUAUAAGCACAUGUAACUAGAAAAGUAGUGUAGUAGACCACAUCAAGAGCCUUAAACAAACACUAAAAGAACCAAGCAUGCAAAUAUACACGAGAUUAAGCCCUUCAAGGGGAUUUUGGACUAAUUAGAGGGAACCCAAUUAUUUUUGUUCGAAAAAGAAACCUUACUAGUUAAUAUAACUGGGAACCUUAAGAAUAUCAUUUCCUACUAUGUUGGAACCUGUCUUAUAAGAUCUUUCAAACAAGUAAACAACGAACAAAAUGCUCGAGUAUAUCUCAAUAUUAAUCCCUAAAAAUAAAUGAAACAACUAUUGUAUUGAUUCAAGGAAUUGCCGUCUUAAAAUCACCCUGUUGUAAGCACACGUAACCAGAAAAGUAGUCCACAUCAAGAGGCACAAACACAUACUAGAAGAACCAACAACAACAACAACAACCCAGUAUAAUCCCAUUUAGUGGGGUCUGGGAAAGUAGUGCGUACACAGACCUUACCCCUACCAUAGGGUAGAGAGACUGUUUCCAAAUAGACCCCGGCAUACUAGAAGAACCAAGCAUGCAAAUAUAUACAAGAUCAAGCGCUUGAUCCUAUUAUUAUCAUCAUCUAGUAACCUCCUCAUAUGUAAGCAUUUACACUGUUCAACUCGUUCCUAAGCUCACUUGCUACAGCACGGACAUCUCCAGCGGACACCUCAUACCACUGUGAUCAACAACAGGAAUGUGCCUGAUGCGGUUAUCAACAACUUAUUGUUCCCUUGUUCCAUUAAAAAGAGCAAACUUGGAGUUUUUUUAGUAUGACCCCUUUCGCUGAACCCAUUCAUGGUGAUUGCAUACAUGACUUCAUCGGGCUCACAAAUUUUCUCCCUCACCAACUUUUUGAACAAUUCAACUGCAUCGUUGACCUUAUUUUCAGCUAAAAAUCCACUUAUUAGGGUGUUAAAGGUGACAACAUUAAAUGAUGUCAUUCUUCAAGUAAAUGGGUAACACUAAAAAUCUACAAUAACAAAAUGCAUCAGGCAAUAACUGUUAAUCACGAUAUUCAAGAUGACUCCAUUAAUUGGGAUACCCAAUUUCUACAUUUCUCCAACAAGAGAAAUGACAACAGAGUAAUGCUUCAUAUUUAUCAUUAGCUCACAGAUAUUCUCUCUUGCCAACUUUUUGAACAAUUCAACUGCCUCUUUGACCUUAUUUUCAGCAAAGAUUCCCAUAACAAGGUGCUAAAAGUAACAACAUCAAAUGCAAUGUUACUCUUCAAUUAAAUUGGUAACAUCGAAUAAUAAAAAUCAGCACGAUGCAUCAGACAAUAACUGUUAAGUAUGCUAUUCAAGAUGACCUCAGGUAUUGUAUUCCCCGCUGCUAUUAUUUGGUACUACUUAUCCUCCGUCCCUCCCCCUCCCCCUUUUUCUUUUCUCUUCCUUCCUUACUUUCCACUUCUUCUUCUUGUCCUUCCUGAGUCGAGGGUCUAUUGGAAACUUUCUUUCUACCUGCAUUAGGUAGCGCUAAGGUCUGCGUACAGACUACCCUCCCCAGACCCCACCUAUUGGAAUCAAACUGGGUUUGUUGUUGUUGUUAUGCUAUUCAAGAUGACUCAAUCAAAUGGGAUAGCCAAUUUCUUCAUUAAUCCAAAAAGAAAAGUGACAACAGAGUAAUGCUUCAUAUUUAGCAUAAUCUUAAAUAAUUUAGAGAAGCCGACAACAGGAGGAAGAGGUUGUAUUCUAACCAUUUUAUGAAAGAGUCACAACAUCAUCUAAAACAUUUGACAUUCUUAAACUUACUACUACUAUGGCAUGAAGAAUAAGCACUGAUUGUAAAUGCCAAACCAGAAUUGAAAGUAGCAAAGAAUGAGAUAAACUGAAUACCAUUGCAAGAGUAACGCAAAGAAGCUUUCUUCAUCUUCGAUGGCCUAAUCUCUGUGGAUGUGAGCUCGGCGUGCCCUAAUUUUGC
rnacentral:lncRNA from 1 species